rnacentral:rRNA from 1 species
UACAGAGGGGGCAAGCGUUAUUCGGAAUUAUUGGGCGUAAAGGGCGCGUAGGCGGCUUUGCAAGUGACGGGUGAAAUCCCUCGGCUUAACCGAGGAACUGCCUGUCAGACUGCAUGGCUCGAGACCAGGAGAGGUGAGUGGAAUUCCCAGUGUAGCGGUGAAAUGCGUAGAUAUUGGGAGGAACACCAGUGGCGAAGGCGGCUCACUGGACUGGUACUGACGCUGAUGCGCGAAAGCGUGGGGAGCGAACAGG